GAGGUUAGAGAGAAGGAGAACGAUCGCUACGCGCUAAAGCAUUAGCGCGCCUGUCCCUGAAAAUUGGUAGAAUUUAUAAUUCUGUGUAGCAUCUGAUCGGAAAAAUAGAGUGAAAAACAAUUUACGUCAAUCAUCAUUAUUUAAAGUACCAAAGGUAAUAUCUUCAUAGUAGCACAUUGAAAUAUUGAAUGUGUAAAAUUA